rnacentral:rRNA from 1 species
GACGAACGCUGGCGGCGUGCUUAACACAUGCAAGUCGAACGGAAAGGCCCUGCUUUUGUGGGGUGCUCGAGUGGCGAACGGGUGAGUAACACGUGAGUAACCUGCCCUUGACUUUGGGAUAACUUCAGGAAACUGGGGCUAAUACCGGAUAGGAGCUCCUGCUGCAUGGUGGGGGUUGGAAAGUUUCGGCGGUUGGGGAUGGACUCGCGGCUUAUCAGCUUGUUGGUGGGGUAGUGGCUUACCAAGGCUUUGACGGGUAGCCGGCCUGAGAGGGUGACCGGCCAGAGUGGGAAUGAGAUACGGACCAGACGGCGACGGGAGGCAGCAGUGGGGAAGAUGGCAAAAUGGGCGGAAGCGUGAUGCAGCCACGCCGCGUGCGGGAUGACGGAGUUCGGGUUGUAAACAGAUGUCGCCGGUGAAGAAGCGUGAGGGACGGUAAUGGGUAAAGAAGCACAGGAUAACUACGUG